UUCCCCACAGAGCCAGAGGAUAACACUAUC
rnacentral:piRNA from 1 species